rnacentral:lncRNA from 1 species
GGGGCGGGGGCGGGGGGGCGGGAGGGGGGGGGGUGAGGCUGCCGCCGACCCUGCAGGGCCCGCGGCGCGCAUCCAGGUCUGGGACGCCCCCACCCUCCCGGUUCCCGAGACCCGCAGGUGUGGACCGCAGAGUCACCCUCUGGCGUGUCCCUGUAGCUCGCUGACCGUCCGAGGCCGGGAAGGUGGCCUGGCGCUGCGGCGGGGAGGGUGGGGGGAAGGAGGGGAAGUGUGAGAGCGGACACAGGAUGAGCGCGGGAGGACGGACCGUGGACUGGCCUUGCCGCCCCUCGGUGCUCGUCCGUCCGGGCCCAGCAGGGCCGGCCUGGCCGAGGCCGCGCGUCCCGCCCCCCUCCAGCUCCGUCUCCCCGCCCGCGUCGCGGCUGCGGGUACAAGAGGUCUCUCUGCUGGUCUUGACGCCGUGAGUCACGUGCAGACAAAAGCCAUCCUCCUUCCGCCGUUAAAGUCAGCCUCUCCGAGGACUGGGGGCCUCAGCCCUCUCAGGGGCCGCAUCCAGACCCGCCACCACCGUGUCCCUGCCCCAGGCAAAGCUCCCGACAGUCACGGGCUCACCACGAGCACGGCGGGCGAGCGCACGUCCAGCGAGCAGGUGUGAGCAGGGGCCCCAGGUCCCCUGGCCCCGUGGGGCCGCCUCUUACCGCCCAAGGCCUGGCUCCACGUUCCGACACCCCAGGGAAGCCAGCGUGCUUUCCAGCGCGUCUGAGCGCGGAGGGGCGACACGUAGAGGAAGGGGGCGCCUCCCUGUCGGGUCCCCUCGUCUUGCUCCGUUACCCAUGCCGUUCGCAUCCUGCCUCCGGGCCCGCGGUGGUCUCCCCCAGCUUCACCCCAGGCAAAGACAGCCCUCACCUCACUUCCCAAGGUGAAAUUCUGCGUUCAGCUCCUUUUACUGAUGGCAUGCUGAAGAAGGGAGAGAGAUCCCAGCAGGAAACAAAAUAACCGUAAGUAUCAGAGAUCACUCGCCUAAGGUUUCUUGAACAACUCUGCCAUUCGGAAUCGUGGUCCAUCUUCUCGGCCCCUUAUCCACCACUCUGUUUGGGAAUGCCUCUCUGUCAAGGGUCUUUCCAGGCCUGGCCUCCUCUCCUUCCUGGUUCCUGCCUCCACAGAUGGAUUCUGAGAUGGGGCAGGAGACAGCAUCCCUAGGGCCGGGCCUCCUCGGCGCUCUUAACACAUUUGUCGUCAGUAUUGCAGAGAGGCUUGCUUUGUCAUAGAUAAUGUUCCCCAACUACUUUUUGAAAACC